AAGUCGUAACAAGGUUUCCGUAGGUGAACCUGCGGAAGGAUCAUUAACACGUAUCCAACGUUAAACCCCCUGUGAACAUUAAGCUUGCUCUCGUGGUUGCUAGAAUUGCAAUCCCUGGUAAAUCAUUGCCGAACAGUUUUGAUUCAGGGACCUCAGUUUUACAACUUCGAUCGAGCGAUCGUUGCAAGCGGCCUGGUUUCCCCAAGCAGUCAGUGUCUGAAAGCGUCAUUGAUUGUGUAAGGAUAGCGCUUUUCGAUCACUGGAGGCCGAACACCGGCCGGUGACCAGGACGCCGUGGCGUAUGCCCCCCAUAUUAACCCCACUACCUGCACUCGCCUCGUAGGAAACUGCUGGGCAUCAACCGAACAACUGUUAACAAUGGAUAUCUUGGUUCUC
rnacentral:misc_RNA from 1 species